CCCCAUGAAAGCCACUCCACAAACCCAGCACUGCAUCUUCAACUCCAUUUUUCAAAUUGCUCUGGAAAGCUUGACUGAGGAUGAAAGCUUAACUGAAGGUUUUUAAGUAUUUGUCCUUGUUCUGCUAUUGUAUAAGAAGGCAGCCAACUUAAUCUUCCCAAUGUUGCAAACAUUUGUUUUUAAAAAAGGGUCCUUGCAUCAGUAUCUUCACCUGAAUCAAGAAAGAUGUCCCAGACCACUGUUGUACUCCCUUCAUACAAUCCAGAUGAUCAGACUCCAACAUGACCACCCCAGUACAUACAUGACCCUUGGCUGUUGAUGCACCUUAAAUACAUAAAAAACAUCUCCUGGAUAUCUUAACUGCGUACAAAAGACUGUCUUACACAAGUUCUACAAGAAAACAUUUCUAUUCUUUAUUUGCAACGCUCCUGCACAACACUCCUGCAGCGGGAAUGAUGUACACACGUCUUUGGGAUAGUUCACCAAGGAUUUUACUCAGCCCACCUAGACAUACAAAUUGGAUCUGCUUGUUCAGGUGUUGACUCAGGUGAAAUUCAUAGAACGGUUUAAAAUUCCCAUCUGAACAGGUCCUGUAACAGUCAGACCAAUACUUAAUUGUGAAGGCUGGGUCAGUUACCUAGUUUUGAUUCUUCAGUUGUCUCAAGGCAGACCAUUAUUCUGUCUAUAUGGAUGCCUGUCCAGGAACCUCUCGGACCACGCCAUUAAGGCUCUAAGUGCGGUGGGUGUGCACACAGGCACAGCUCUGAUACACAGCUGCUCCACUGUUAUUACUAAAGAACAAACUUGAUUUUCAUAAUUAAAAGUCGGUUGUAAUUUAAGUCCCAUAAUUCCUUCCACAAUUGCACAGAAUAUUCCAAUAGAGGUUUUACUGGAAAAUGGCAUAAAGACUUUGGUGUUUCUACAAAAAUUUAAUCCUCUGAUAAAAGGAAGAACAUUUAUUUUUUUCCACAAUUGUAUCACAUUGACCUGUUCAUAUUCAUCCUUUGAAGAGCUAAAAUAUUUUUCUUAAUUAUAUACAGCUAAUAAAUUAUAUAGAAGGAAUCUUGCUAUUGGGAUC
rnacentral:lncRNA from 1 species